AUGAGCUUCAGUAUCUGCUCCAGUUUCUCCUCAAACUACUAGACGUUGGGCUCCUGCAGUCACUCAGCUACUGGGCCAGGCCAGCCAGCAGCGUGGCCAGCAUCUAUGCAGAUACCUGGGGCUUGGGCUCCCAGAUCUCUGUGUCCCACUCCACCAAUGUGCGGAGUGGUUGGGGAUACAGGGGCCUGGCUGUGGGGAUGGCUGGGCGUCUGUCGGAUAUAGGGGACAUUCAGAGCUAGAAGGAGACUAUACAAUGCCUGAAUGACUGCCUGGCCUCCUUUCUAGAGAGGGUGAGAAGCCUGGAGGCUGAUAAUCGGAAACUGGAGAUCAAAAUUCGGGAACACCUGGACAAGAAGGGACCCCAGGUUAGAGACUGGGGGCAUUAUUUCAUGACCAUCAAAGGCUCAGAUCUUUGCAAGUUCUGUGGACAAUGCCUGCAUCGUUCUACAGACUGACAAGGCCUGCCUUGCUGCUGAUGACUUCAGGGUCAAGUAUGAGACAGAAUUAGCCAUGCACCAAUCUGUGGAGAGUGACAUCAAUGGGCUCCGAAAGGUCACUGAUGACAUCAAUAUCACUCGGCUGCAGCUUCAGACAGAGAUCAAGGCUCUCAAGGAGGAGCUGAUCUUCAUGAAGAUCCACGAGGAGGAAGUAAAUGGUCUACAAAACCAGAUUGCCAACUCUGGGUUGACUGUGGAGUUGGCUGCCCUCAAAUCUCAGGACCUCAGCAAGAACAUGGUGGUCAUCCAGGCCCAAUAUGAUGAGCUGGCUUGGAAGAGCCGAGAGGAGCUAGACAAGUACUGGUCCCAACAGAUUGAGGAGAGCACCACAGUGGUUACCUCACAGACUGUUGAGAUAGGAGCUGCUGAGAUAAUAUGGACCUGAGACAUACAGUCCAGUCCUUGGAGAUCGACCUGAACUCAAUGAGAAAUCUGAAGGCCAGCUUGGAAAACAGCCUGUGGGAGGUAGAGACCCGCUAUGCCAUGCAGAUAGAGCAGCUCAACAGGAUCCUAAUGCACCUGGAGUCAGAGCUGGCCCAGGAGUAGGAGGCCCUGAUGAACAUCAAGGUCACACUGGAGGCUGAGAGUGCCACCUACUGCUGCCUGCAAGAAGGAGGUGUGAACUUUAAUCAUAAUGAUGCCCUGGACAGCAGCACUGCAUGCAACCCAUCCAAAAGACCACCACCUGCAAGAUUGUGGACACCAAAGUCCUGAGGUGGUAA